rnacentral:rRNA from 1 species
AAUCAACGCUGGUGGCGUGCCUCAGACAUGCAAGUCGAACGCGAAAGGCCCCUUCGGGGGCCCGGUAGAGUGGCGCACGGGUGAGUAACACGUAGGUAACUUGCCUUCGGGUGGGGAAGUAACAGCCGGAAACGGCUGCUAAUACCGCAUAAUGCAGCGGCUCGACAUCGAGACAGUUGUUAAAGCGGGGGAUCGCAAGACCUCGCGCCUGAAGAGAAGCCUGCGGCAGAUUAGCUUGUUGGUGAGGUAAUGGCUCACCAAGGCGACGAUCUGUAACCGGCCUGAGAGGGCGGUCGGUCACACUGACACUGACAUACGGGUCAGACUCCUACGGGAGGCAGCAGUCGGGAAUUUUGGGCAAGUGGGCGAAAGCCUCGACCCAGCAACGCCGCG